AGCAGCCGCGGUAAUUCCAGCUCCAAUAGCGUAUAUUAAAGUUGCUGCAGUUAAAAAGCUCGUAGUUGAAUUUCGGGACCAUCAUGUCGGUCGUGCCUCGGUACGUACUGGCAUUGUUGGUUUCUACCUUCUGACGAACCAUGAUGUCAUUUAUUUGGUGUCGUGGGAAAUCAGGACUGUUACUUUGAAAAAAUUAGAGUGUUUAAAGCAGGCUCACGCUUGAAUACAUUAGCAUGGAAUAAUGAAAUAGGACGUUUGAUUCUAUUUUGUUGGUUUCUAGGAUCGACGUAAUGAUUAAUAGGGAUAGUUGGGGGCAUUAGUAUUCAAUUGUCAGAGGUGAAAUUCUUGGAUUUAUUGAAGACUAACUACUGCGAAAGCAUUUGCCAAGGAUGUUUUCAUUAAUCAAGAACGAAAGUUAGGGGAUCGAAGACGAUCAGAUACCGUCGUAGUCUUAACCAUAAACUAUGCCGACUAGGGAUCGGAUGAUGUUAAUUUUUUAAUGACUCAUUCGGCGCCUUAC
rnacentral:ncRNA from 2 species